rnacentral:sRNA from 1 species
UUAUAAAUCAAACUCUUACAGGUGGAGGUCAGCAAAGGUCCAGCCAUACAUUUCAACCACCGCUUACCUUUGGAUAAGGUCACUCAUCUUUACCUGAUUGGGGAUAUUUCAGUCAGUCUCAUUAAGCUUAAAGCGAAAAAAUAAAGAGCAUAAUGCGAGAAAUAAUUUCAACCAUUGGAACAGAGUUCUGGAAGCCUGGCAUGGAAAGGAAUUAUUGCUUGAAAUAAUUUCUAGUAUUUUAUAAUGGCUAAUGUAUAAAUCUUAACAGUAUAAUUCAAACCAUUUAAUUAGUUCAAUAAAUGCUUUUAUACUUGUGACUAAUACAACCUCGAGAAUGUAGUAGAUUCUCUAUAGAGAUCCAAUUACAUUCCACGAUGUAUUUGUAGUAAUAAUUAGAUCCUGAUGCAGCAAUGGUGACCUAAUUUUAGUGUAGUUUAAAAUCUACAUUGUUCGUUUUAUCCUAUUUAGAAUCUUAUUGUUUAGUUAGAAAUUAGUCAAUUUAUCUCCUUUUUAUGUUCACUGUUUGCUGUAAGUUUUUUUUAUAAAAUUUUACUUUAGGGACACAAAAAUGUAGUGUUUGAUAAUCACUACAUUCUUUUUAUAUCAAAACUGAUUAAAAUGGAUAAAUUUUUUAAUAAACUUUAUCACUGCUUAAAAAAA